UACGAAGGGGGCUAGCGUUGUUCGGAUUUACUGGGCGUAAAGCGCACGUAGGCGGCUUCUUAAGUCGGUGGUGAAAUCCUGGAGCUCAACUCCAGAACUGCCUUCGAUACUGGGAGCUCGAGUCCGGGAGAGGUGAGUGGAACUGCGAGUGUAGAGGUGAAAUUCGUAGAUAUUCGCAAGAACACCAGUGGCGAAGGCGGCUCACUGGCCCGGUACUGACGCUGAGGUGCGAAAGCGUGGGGAGCAAACAGG
rnacentral:rRNA from 1 species